AGCAGUGUGGUGUAGUGGUAAGGAGCAGGGCUCAUAACCAAAAGGUUGCUGGUUCGAUUCCCCGCUGCUG
rnacentral:tRNA from 1 species